UACGUAGGGACCAAGCGUUGUUCGGAUUUACUGGGCGUAAAGGGCGCGUAGGCGGCUUAACAAGUCACUUGUGAAAUCUCCGGGCUUAACUCGGAACGGCCAAGUGAAACUGUCAAGCUAGAGUGCAGAAGGGGCAAUCGGAAUUCUUGGUGUAGCGGUGAAAUGCGUAGAUAUCGGAAGGAACACCAGUGGCGAAAGCGGCUUCCUGGUCCAGCACCGACGUUCAGGCACGAAAGCGUGGGGAGCAAACAGG
rnacentral:rRNA from 1 species